UAGGGAAUCUUCCACAAUGGACGCAAGUCUGAUGGAGCAACGCCGCGUGAGUGAAGAAGGUUUUCGGACCGUAAAGCUCUGUUGUUGGUGAAGAAGGAUAGAGGUAGUAACUGGCCUUUAUUUGACGGUAAUCAACCAGAAAGUCACGGCUAACUACGUGCCAGCAGCCGCGGUAAUCGUAGGUGGCAAGCGUUGUCCGGAUUUAUUGGGCGUAAAGCGAGCGCAGGCGGAAGAAUAAGUCUGAUGUGAAAGCCCUCGGCUUAACCGAGGAAUUGCAUCGGAAACUGUUUUCUUGAGUGCAGAAGAGGAGAGUAGAACUCCAUGUGUAGCGGUGGAAUGCGUAGAUAUAUGGAAGAAUACCAGUGGCGAAGGCGGCUCUCUGGUCUGCAACUGACGCUGAGGCUCGAAAGCAUGGGUAGCGAACAGGAUUAGAUACCCUGGUAGUCCAUGCCGUAAACGAUGAGUGCUAAGUGUUGGGAGGCUUCCGCCUCUCAGUGCUGCAGCUAACGCAUUAAGCACUCCGCCUGGGGGAGUACGACCGCAAAGGUUGAAAC
rnacentral:rRNA from 1 species